rnacentral:rRNA from 1 species
UAGGGAAUCUUCGGCAAUGGGGGCAACCCUGACCGAGCAACGCCGCGUGAGUGAAGAAGGUUUUCGGAUCGCAAAGCUCUGUUGUAAGAGAAGAACGUGUGUGAGAGUGGAAAGUUCACACAGUGACGGUAACUUACCAGAAAGGGACGGCUAACUACGUGCCAGCAGCCGCGGUAAUACGUAGGUCCCGAGCGUUGUCCGGAUUUAUUGGGCGUAAAGCGAGCGCAGGCGGUUUAAUAAGUCUGAAGUUAAAGGCAGUGGCUUAACCAUUGUUCGCUUUGGAAACUGUUAAACUUGAGUGCAGAAGGGGAGAGUGGAAUUCCAUGUGUAGCGGUGAAAUGCGUAGAUAUAUGGAGGAACACCGGUGGCGAAAGCGGCUCUCUGGUCUGUAACUGACGCUGAGGCUCGAAAGCGUGGGGAGCAAACAGG